rnacentral:rRNA from 1 species
GACGAACGCUGGCGGCGCGCUUAACACAUGCAAGUCGAGCGAAGCGGCGGACGGGUGAGUAACACGUGAGUAACCUGCCUUAGACAUUGGGAUAGCCUCGGGAAACCGGGAUUAAUACCAAAUGGUCUAAGAUGGACUCGCGUCCCAUUAGCUAGUUGGUGGGUAACGGCUCACCUAGGCGACGAUCUCUAGCUGGGCUGAGAGGGUGAUCGGCAACACGGGGACGGAGAGACGGCCCAGACUCUACGGGUGGGAGCAGUGGGGGAUAGUGCACAAUGCGCGAAAGCCUGAUGCAGCGACGCCGCGUGGGGGAUGAAGGCUUUCGGGUUGUAAACCUCUUUAGCGAGGGCUCAUUUUUUGGUGGGUUGAGGGUAGGUGGAGAAGAAGCGCCGGCUAACUACGUGCCAGCAGCCGCGGUAAUAC